UACGUAGGGUGCAAGCGUUAAUCGGAAUUACUGGGCGUAAAGCGUGCGCAGGCGGUUGUGCAAGACAGAUGUGAAAUCCCCGGGCUCAACCUGGGAAUUGCAUUUGUGACUGCACGGCUAGAGUGUGUCAGAGGGGGGUAGAAUUCCACGUGUAGCAGUGAAAUGCGUAGAGAUGUGGAGGAAUACCGAUGGCGAAGGCAGCCCCCUGGGAUAACGACUGACGCUCAUGCACGAAAGCGUGGGGAGCAAACCGG
rnacentral:rRNA from 1 species